GCAAUGUUAGUCAAUGUCAAAGUUAGGCAAUGUUAGGCAAUGUUAGGUAUGGUUGUGUGGAAAAAAUAAUUAGGUGCAAUUAAUGUGUUUUGUGUGGUAGUAAAUAAUCUUAGUUUAAUUAAGUAGCUUUCAUUUGGUUUGCUAUAAAUACCCAAGUCCCCAAGUCUUGUAAAUCAUCAAAAGGAAAAACAAAGCUAAGUGCUAAAUAAGAAAAGCUUUGCUAAUUAGUGUUUUUGUGAGCUUUCUUUAGAGUGAGCUUUCUUGGGAUAAUUAGAGUUAUCUUGUAUACUCCUUUUGUUCAACAAAGAAGAUCGGAUGAUGCAAUUUCUUAUGGGUCUCAACGAUGUCUAUAAUGCAAUUUUUUAUUGCUCUGUAUGAGAAGUAGAUCAGUGAUUGAGCCAGCAAAUUUUGUCGGACCGUUAUGGCUUGUAAAACACGUUCUCGUCUAAUACUAGUUUUUUCUCUUCUUUUUCUCUCAUAACGGUUUUUUGGCCUAGUAAUGUAUUUGUCCCGUGAAUUCUACUAUUAAUAAUUUUCUUUUACCAAUCAUUAUAUAUUGUACAGAACUUGAAUAAAUUCUUACGCAUGCCGCGGCAAGCAGGGGAUCAUCUUGUUCUUCCUUGCGUUGCCUUUAAAGCUGUGCUCUCAACUGCAUAUAUAACGGAACCAUUUACUAUGUCGAUUUUGAUUUUGCUCUUGCAAAGCUAUGAAACUAUAACUGUUCUUUGAAGCCAACCUUGACAUUGCAAUUAGACCCCAAUCAGGGUAGGAAGGGAAAACGGAAGGAAAAAUCAAUAUCGUGAGAAAAAAAGUUAAGUUUGAUUUCUUCCAUCUACUUUAGGAGUCUGCUUUUGAGAUAUAGGCAAAAGGCAAUGCGUGAGUCUUCUCGUCUCACGGAAAUCGCGGUUUGGCAACGACAAUCAGAUUUGCUAUCCUGUGCAUUGUGAUACCAAAAAUUCUUCCAGGUCCAAAUCUUUAGCUGUAUACCCGGAGGAAGCUCCCAAUCCAAGCUAUGCAGAAGUUGAGCCAGAGCAAGCUGAAAGGUUGCUGUUCUGAACACAAUAGCUGAACGUAAUACCGCAAGCAUAUCUUGGGCAGAUUGGUGGUGCCAGGAUAAGACUCUACUGUUGAAGAUCAACACCAGCCCAAUUGGUGUUUGUGUUGAAGUGUAAUCUUGCCUUGGCCCAAGAUGGAUCCAGCCCAUGGACAAAAAAAGAUCCAUACACAUGCUAGAGAAUUCUAGCAAAGUUUAAGUUGGUGGAAGAGUCUAGAAGAAUGGUAAGGUUUCCACCAACAUGCAAGAUUAGUAGUUAGUAAAAUUAUCUAGAUAUCUCUAGCAUGAUGAUUACAUGCUUCUCCAAGGUUCCAUCCAUGCCUAUAAAAGGAGAAGGCAUCCACACCAUUUGUAUCAAUCAAGCAACCAAACAACCAACCAAUCAAGAAGUAGUAGGCAACCAAGUGAGAGUGAGUGUCAUUGCUUCUAAAGUUGUGUCUUUGUGAGUGUUGUAAUAUUUUGUGUGUGUAAUACAAGUAAUUUGUUUACUUGUGUUGUCUCUCCAACACUUGUGUUAGAGUUGUGUACUCUAAGUUUUUCCCCCAACAUCUGCAACCCAACAAACCAGACGAGCAACUUCUUUUCUAACAUGGCCAUACUUCUCUGCCAAUCCACGAAGAGAUAGGUGAGGGGUUGUUUCCGAGCUGGUGAAGGUUACCAACGAUAGGUAGCUUCAGAGGGCUUGGUGGAAGUUUGAGUUUUCUUUUCCGUGACUUAUCCUCAAAGAUAAACUUGAGUAACAAUAUGAGGAAAUUGAAUGCAAGAAGCAAAGAGGGUUCCUUUAGCAAUUGAAGAAAAGCCAUUGGAAACCAAAAUUCAGUGCAUCGGAGUUUCUGGUACGGCGCCCCCAGUUGUCGUAAUCAAUUUCAAUAGACUGAGACUUGCUUUCGGUGGUAUCUAAUGAAGAAAGUUGGGAUUCCACCAUAAAAUCAAUUAGCAAUAUGAGAAGUAGCCCAACCUCUUAUAAGCCCAUGCAAGUCCCCCCUUCCAUCAAUAUGGGACUCAUUCCCAACAUGAUGACAAAUUUUCAAGCCUAACAUGUGGACAACACAACGGGGUGAUGUGGAAAGCGUGUGGCCGUUUGUCUUCACACAUCGGUGGGGGAAGUCAACAAGGGUGUCUUUAAAUAUGGUUACCCUACUCUAACUAAUACAUAGGCCUUUUGUGGUAAAACCGCAAACUUGACGGAUUUGGCAAGUGGUAAAAGUUUGGGACAAUAUUGAUGUCGUUAAAGUGGGCCCCCUGGGCUCGUCGAUCUAAAAAAAAAAUUCAAUAUGGUAUCAAAGUCCACGGUUACAGGCCCAUGCAAGCUAAAAGGCUUGUCACCAGAAAGUGUAGGUUUGGAAAUAAGCUUGGACUCUUAACAUAGAGUCGGCCUCUGAGUUCUUAAGAGUCACUUCCUGAAAAGAUUGAAAACAAGUCUGGACUUCAUUGGAGCCGACUUCUGAGUUUCAAUUGUCGAUAUGUGAAUCUCCACUUGUGAACCACUAAAUGGGGUUACACAUGAGGGGGUGUGUUAGCAGUCCCACUUCAAUGGGGGAAGUCAACAAAGGUGGCUUUAAAAAUGAUUACCUGCUCUAACUAAUACCGAUGCCUUUUGUGGUAAAACUACAUACCUAACGAAUUGGGCAAGUGAUAAAGUUAGGAACAUUAUCGGUGUCUUUAAAGUGGGGUCCAACGGACCCACCGAUCCAAAAAUCCAACAUCUAAUAAUCGUCAAUCAGCAAGAAAGCCACCUCAAUUUCUUUGUACCAUUUUCCACCUUGUCUUACUAACUGUUGGAAUGCAUGCAAGUCAUAUCUUGUGUUAAAAUGCAUGCAUGAAAUAAACAUGUUGGAUGACUAGUGAAGUUAGGCUAGUCAACAUUCUUUGUGUAAAUUAGGCAAGUUAGGCAAGUUAGGAAAUUAGGCAAGUUAGGCAAGUUAGGCUUAUGUCUACUUUCUUUUCCUAUAUAUAUGUUUCAUUUGUAAUUGUUUCUUCAUGAAAUACACAUCAAAAAUUCUACAUGGUAUCAGAGCAGGUUCAUUUGUAACCUGUCUCUGCCAUUCUUGCUGCUGCAAUUUUUUCUUUCUUUCAAAGUCUAAGUCAUGACUGAAGAAAGUUAUGUGAACCAUGAUGAGGAAACCCGGCACAAUCUCUCUCCAAACUUCUCAGACGUUGAGGUUAACACCAAUCAA
rnacentral:lncRNA from 1 species